rnacentral:rRNA from 1 species
UACGUAGGGUGCGAGCGUUAAUCGGAAUUACUGGGCGUAAAGUGUGCGCAGGCGGCGGAGCAAGUCGAGUGUGAAAGCCCCGGGCUUAACUUGGGAACUGCGCUCGAAACUACUUUGCUGGAGUGUGGCAGAGGAAGGUGGAAUUCCAGGUGUAGCGGUGAAAUGCGUAGAUAUCUGGAGGAACACCGGUGGCGAAGGCGGCAUCCUGGACCGGUAUUGACGCUGAUGCGCGAAAGCCAAGGGAGCAAACGGG